rnacentral:siRNA from 1 species
AACGUUAACCCGUGAUUUUCCUGC